rnacentral:rRNA from 1 species
GAUGCACGCUAGCGAAGGCUUAACACAUGCAAGUCGAGGGACCGGCGGAUUGGUUCGUAACGCGUAUGCAACUUGCCUCACAGAGGAGCAUAACCCGGAGAAAUCCGGACUAAUUCUCCAUACUGUGAUCUAGGCAUGCGUCCUAUUAGGUAGUGUGUGAGGUAACGGCUCACCAAGCCGACUAUAGGGAGGGGUGCUGAGAGGCAGAGCCCCCAAAGAUGUGCUGAGACACGGCCCAAACUACUACGGGAGGGAGCAGUGAGGAAUAUUGGUCAAGUGAGGAAACUCUGAACCAGCCAAGUCGCGUGAAGGAAGAAUGUCUAAGGAUUGUAAACUUCUGUAGCGAGAGAGUAAUUGGCUCGAGAAGAAGUAUCGGCUAACUCCGUGCCAGCAGCCGCGGUAAUAC